GACGAACGCUGGCGGCGUGCUUAACACAUGCAAGUCGAACGGUGAAGCGCCUUCCUUUUUGGUGGGUGUGGAUGAGUGGCGAACGGGUGAGUAACACGUCAGUAACCUGCCCCCUUCUUCUGGAUAACCGCAUGAAAGGGUUGCUAAUACGGGAUAUUCUGGCUCUGUCGCAUGAUGGGUCUGGGUAAGAUAUUGUUUCGGUGGGGGAUGGGCUCGCGGCCUAUCAGCUUGUUGGUGGGGUGAUGGCCUACCAAGGCGGUGACAGGUAGCCGGCCUGAGAGGGUGGACGGUCACACUGGGAAUGAGGCACGGCCAAGACUCCUACGGGAGGCAGCAGUGGGGAAUACUGCACACUGGGCGCAAGACUGAUGCAGCGACGCCGAGUGAGGGAUGGAGGACUGCGGGUUGUGAACCUCUUUCGCCAGUGAAGCAGGCCUGCCUCGUUUGUGGGUGGGUUGACGGUAGCUGGAGAAGAAGCGCCGGCUAACUACGUG
rnacentral:rRNA from 1 species